CAGUCGAACGCGUCUUGGUUAUUGAUGUUAGAUGCUUGCAUUUAACUGAUUUAACAUUGAGACGAGUGGCGAACUGGUGAGUAACACGUGGGUAACCUGCCCUUGAAGUAGGGGAUAACACUUGGAAACAGGUGCUAAUACCGUAUAACAACCAAAACCACCUGGUUUUGGUUUAAAAGAUGGCUUCGGCUAUCACUUUAGGAUGGACCCGCGGCGUAUUAGCUUGUUGGUAAGGUAACGGCCUACCAAGGCAAUGAUACGUAGCCGACCUGAGAGGGUAAUCGGCCACAUUGGGACUGAGACACGGCCCAAACUCCUACGGAAGGCAGCAGUAGGGAAUCUUCCACAAUGGACGAAAGUCUGAUGGAGCAACGCCGCGUGAGUGAUGAAGGGUUUCGGCUCGUAAAACUCUGUUGUUGGAGAAGAACAGGUGUGAGAGUAACUGUUCACAUCUUGACGGUAUCCAACCGGAAAGCCACGGCUAACUACGUGCCAGCAGCCGCGGUAAUACGUAGGUGGCAAGCGUUGUCCGGAUUUAUUGGGCGUAAAGCGAGCGCAGGCGGUUUCUUAGGUCUGAUGUGAAAGCCUUCGGCUUAACCGGAGAAGUGCAUCGGAAACCAGGAGACUUGAGUGCAGAAGAGGACAGUGGAACUCCAUGUGUAGCGGUGAAAUGCGUAGAUAUAUGGAAGAACACCAGUGGCGAAGGCGGCUGUCUGGUCUGUAACUGACGCUGAGGCUCGAAAGCAUGGGUAGCGAACAGGAUUAGAUACCCUGGUAGUCCAUGCCGUAAACGAUGAGUGCUAAGUGUUGGAGGGUUUCCGCCCUUCAGUGCUGCAGCUAACGCAUUAAGCACUCCGCCUGGGGAGUA
rnacentral:rRNA from 1 species